UACGAAGGGUGCAAACGUUGCUCGGAAUCAUUGGGCGUAAAGCGCACGUAGGCGGCUUUGCAAGUCGGAUGUGAAAUCCCUCGGCUCAACCAAGGAAGUGCAUCCGAAACUGCAGAGCUUGAGUACUUAAGAGGAUCGCGGAAUUCCCGGUGUAGAGGUGAAAUUCGUAGAUAUCGGGAGGAACACCAGUGGCGAAGGCGGCGAUCUGGACGGUGACUGACGCUGAGAUGCGAAAGUGUGGGGAGCAAACAGG
rnacentral:rRNA from 1 species